UACAGAGGGGGCAAGCGUUAUUCGGAAUUAUUGGGCGUAAAGGGCGCGUAGGCGGCCUGGCAAGUGGAAGGUGAAAUCCCUCGGCUUAACCGAGGAACUGCCCUCCAAACUGCUUGGCUUGAGUCCGGGAGAGGUGAGUGGAAUUGCGAGUGUAGAGGUGAAAUUCGUAGAUAUUCGCAAGAACACCAGUGGCGAAGGCGGCUCACUGGCCCGGAACUGACGCUGAGACGCGAAAGCGUGGGGAGCAAACAGG
rnacentral:rRNA from 1 species